rnacentral:rRNA from 1 species
UACAGAGGUCCCAAGCGUUGUUCGGAUUCACUGGGCGUAAAGGGUGCGUAGGUGGUGAGGUAAGUCGGAUGUGAAAGCUCGGAGCUCAACUCCGAAAUGGCAUUGGAAACUACCUUGCUCGAGGGAUGGAGGGGGGACUGGAAUUCUCGGUGUAGCAGUGAAAUGCGUAGAUAUCGAGAGGAACACCAGUGGCGAAGGCGGCCCCCUGGUUGGAUACUGACGCUGAGA